rnacentral:ncRNA from 2 species
UAAAAUAAUACAGCGCCAGGACAAUGUAUAUUGUUGACGAGGAUUAGAACUUAUCGAAGGAUUCGGCGGAUGGUUCUAUGGCAUAUGGUUGUCAUUAAAUAUUACACAAAGACUAAUAGCAAUAUUAGAACAAAGGUAAUAUAAACCUUAAU